rnacentral:lncRNA from 1 species
UGUAGUGUUAGGGCUUUGAGGAUAAUAUUUCCUUUGUCAGAACAAUGUUUAAUCAGAACCACGGGCGAGUGCUUCAGCUGGCUUUGAGGGCUUUAGUGUGAAAAAGACUUCAGGAGAGAUUAGAACCCGGCGAGAUGAGAACCAAGGGAGACCGGCCUCCCAGCCUAUAUCUAUCGCACCUGCCCUGGCUCAGGGCUGGGCUGGACGUGUUCAUUCUCAUCUUUCCCACCAGCUGUCCCUGAGGGCCGGGCUGGCCUGCCGGUGAGGGAAGCUCAGGGGAGGAGGGGGAGGCCCAGGUGAAAGGAAGCCUGAAUUUCCAGGAGGCAGACGGCAGACUCCGGACACCGGGCCCACCCAGAGCUCGGGGCCAGCGAUGGUCCCCUAGUGGAUGGCUUUCCUCUCCUCCUCUGGGGCUUCCGGUUGGCAUCGCCUGGACCAUCUCCCCAGCCCUUUGAUCAAGGCUGUCCUGAAAUGCCCUCCCCAGCAACUCCCCCGUGUAAACCCUAUGUUCCCAUAAUCAUAAUCGCGGUGGCUUCGUUUUUCUGACUGAACAUGAUCUGAGUGCCAGAUGUGCUUCCAGGGUGGCAGCGCCUCUAGGAGAGGAGUCUGGAGUGAUCCCUGAUCCGAUGGGUGGUCCUGGGACCUGUGGAGAAGGUGCACUCACACGUGAUCCCGGAGUGGUCACGCGGUUAUCACUGCGAUCAUCUGGAGCCUGGCGCAUGUUUACACAUGGCGCGGCUCUCAGGACCCAUGGCUGCAGCUUGCACCAGGGUCAUAAAAUUGCAGGGUGCAGGGACUGGAUCGCCCUGGGACUCUGAACACCCGCUCCUGACUUUCUGUGCUGGCCUGAAGGAAGCCCUUAUCUCCAGGAUCCACAGAAACACAGGGAAUAUACGUGGCACUGGCUCCUAAGGGUGAUGGACCAGGGUGGAAGACGUGGAAGGUUCGGCCACCGGUGCCCUGACUGCGUCCGCUGGCUUGUGUUGGUCUGAGUGACCAUCAGUGGCUCUAACAGUUCUGAAACACAGACUUGAUGGUUGCCAUCGUAAGAUGAAGCCAAAUGCUACCAGGAAAGACAAACAUCUCAGGAGAGGGAGCUGUCGCCGUGGCUGGGUUUCUUACGCAUGACCUUCUCACCCACCGCGUCACUUCUCCUCCAGAGUCCAGAGGACCCCCUCCCCACAGCAUGGAUGAGAAGAGAGCCCCCACUGUUAGACUCCACCACAGCCGUGACCUGAGGCCGCCGUCACCGUGAGAGAUGCUGCCAUUAUCUCAGAGCCCCCCAAAUUCGAUGGGAAAACGAAAUCUCAGAAGGGCAGGGGCCCGGGGCGAGUCGUCGAUGAGGUGGCUGUGGUCACGCAGUGGGCAGCAGGACUGCCCAAACACGGCCAUGGCUUGGCCCACAGAGAUCUCUGAUGACAACCCGUGAAUCACAGCAUUCCUGGGACUCAAGGAGAGAGCUGUGAUCGUUUGUUCUCUUUUGCUUGUAACAGAAUACCUAAGCCUGUUACAGUGGGCAGCCCGUGUGGUGUGAGCAGGGCAGAAGAGGGUCCACUCACCCCAGGAGCGUCAGCGACCAUCAGGUGCUGGUCAGGCGGUUGUCACACUGUCUCUCUAAAGUAAUAACUGGCCACAGCCGGGGCCAGGGAAAGCCAGGCUCCUAAUAGAAAACACCUGAAGCUGGUGAUGAGCAGCUUCCUGAUAAGAGCUCAGGAGUGGGGGAAGGUGACCCCAGAAGCAUGCCGAUGCAUAACCCUGAGUUGAGAGGCCAAGCCGCACACUUGGUCUCUCAGGUCACCCACUUGACCUUCUUCCGAGUGGACUUUCCUUCCUCACAUUCCUUCUCUAGAGAUUUUUAAUAAAUGU